CCUUCGCCACGCCCGCUCAAGAACUACAAAGGAAUUGACGGGACCCCGCACAAGCGGUGGAUCAUGUUGUUUAAUUCGAUGAUACGCGAAGAACCUUACCAGGUCUUGACAUCCCCCGCGAUGCUUUAGAGAUAAAGCGGAGGUAUUCGGGGAGACAGGUGGUGCAUGGUUGUCGUCAGCUCGUGUCGUGAGAUGUUGGGUUAAGUCCCGCAACGAGCGCAACCCCUAUUGCUAGUUACCAUCAUUAAGUUGGGGACUCUAGCGAGACUGCCAGUGAUAAACUGGAGGAAGGUGGGGAUGACGUCAAAUCAUCAUGCCCCUUACGACCUGGGCUACAAACGUGAUACAAUGGCUGGAACAAAGGGAUGCGAAGCAGUGAUGUGGAGCGAAACCCAUAAAAACAGUCUCAGUUCGGAUUGAAGUCUGCAACUCGACUUCAUGAAGUCGGAAUCGCUAGUAAUCGCGGAUCAGAACGCCGCGGUGAAUACGUUCUCGGGGUUU
rnacentral:rRNA from 1 species